CACGUUUUUUUUACACUUCCCACUUGGCUGUAUGGCAUACAGGUGUGUGCCUACGCGCCGGGAAAAAGUUAUGUUCGUUUGACAUUUCGUUUACGCGAUGACGAUGGCAAUUUAGUCCCGUCGCGAUUAUUUCUUUAAAGUGGUGUAUAAGCCACAUAUAUCAUGAUGAAAGGAUGGUGAAGUCUUCUGUAUAAAAACAAUGGUUUAGUCCAUCGACUAGGGGGAAUGCUGUUAUAAUAUCGUCCCACGUGAUGUGGGGUCAAAGUCCACCGGCAGAGUCCAGUGUU